rnacentral:rRNA from 1 species
GUGUCAGCAGCCGCGGUAAUACGUAGGUGGCAAGUGUUGUCCGGAAUUAUUGGGCGUAAAGGGCUCGCGGGCGGUUUCUUAAGUCUGAUGUGAAAGCCCCCGGCUCAACCGGGGAGGGUCAUUGGAAACUGGGGAACUUGAGUGCAGAAGAGGAGAGUGGAAUUCCACGUGUAGCGGUGAAAUGCGUAGAGAUGUGGAGGAACACCAGUGGCGAAGGCGACUCUCUGGUCUGUAACUGACGCUGAGGAGCGAAAGCGUGGGGAGCGAACAGGAUUAGAUACCCUGGUAGUCCACGCCGUAAACGAUGAGUGCUAAGUGUUAGGGGGUUUCCGCCCCUUAGUGCUGCAGCUAACGCAUUAAGCACUCCGCCUGGGGAGUACGGUCGCAAGACUGAAACUUAAAGGAAUUGACGG